rnacentral:rRNA from 1 species
UAUAAGUGAUGGCGACCGGCGCACGGGUGAGUAACACGUAUCCAACCUGCCGAUAACUCGGGGAUAGCCUUUCGAAAGAAAGAUUAAUACCCGAUGGUAUAAUAAAACUGCAUGGUUUAAUUAUUAAAGAAUUUCGGUUAUCGAUGGGGAUGCGUUCCAUUAGGCAGUUGGUGAGGUAACGGCUCACCAAACCUUCGAUGGAUAGGGGUUCUGAGAGGAAGGUCCCCCACAUUGGAACUGAGACACGGUCCAA